AGAAAUAGCUCAACAACCUCUCAGAGACCUACAGAAUUAGUUGUAUGAGAUCAAACUGAUAUAGACAAACUCCAGAAGGGAAACAAAGAAGGCAACAAAACAAUCAUGAACAUUUGUUCUUCCUCAUUGUCGGUUUUGCCAGUCAGGAUGAUUACUCCAAAAUAAAGAAAAUUACCAAAAACAAAUGCAUAUUAAGAAACAAUACAAAAACAGAUAAUCCUCAAACCCUCCCUAUUUCAUUCCUCUACCAACAACUAUAACAGAGAAAAAGAAAAAAUAUAUAAACAAGUUGUAG
rnacentral:misc_RNA from 1 species